AUAGGCAAUUAACAGUGCUUAGUGAAAGAUUGCAUGGUGGGUGGCCUAAUGAGAUUCCUCUGCUGAGGGAGAAUUGCUUGCAAGCAAAGAGAAAACUUGUUCCUUGAGUCAGAUGCAGCUCCUGCUGCUUUUAUUACAGCUGUACCAGGUGACUUCAGCCAAGAUCAGAGUCCCAUUGUGCUUGGUACCAUAUUGUAAGAGACAUCUCCUGCCCCCCAAAUUGAUUUUUGGGCUACAUAGGUAAGAGGUGAAGGUGGAAAACAAGCGUGCAGAGCUGAAGUGUCUGUCCAAGGUCACAUGGCAGUAAGAUUCCUGGAAUCCCUCCCAAGAUUGAUGGCAAAACAGCUGCAGAUCUGAGUUAUAAGAAAUCACACAGUCGGUUCUUAUUUGAAACAGUUCACCCUCAUUCUGGAAGGGAGAAGUGAAUCUGAACAGAGGUACCAGGCACUUUGAGACAGGUUCUACAUUCAGGGCAUGAGAAUGAAUUAGACAUACAGUCUACCUAUCUCCCACUUCAGAAGAAAGUUGAGAAAAC